CGCGUAGGCGGUUUAGCAAGUCGGAUGUGAAAGCCCGGGGCUCAACCCCGGAAAUGCAUCCGAUACUGCUUCACUUGAGUACGGGAGAAGGAUGCGGAAUUCCCAGUGUAGAGGUGAAAUUCGUUGAUAUUGGGAGGAACACCGGUGGCGAAAGCGGCAUCCCGGCCCAGUACUGACGCUGAGGCGCGAAAGCGUGGGGAGCAAACA
rnacentral:rRNA from 1 species